AAGUCGAGCGGUAACAGGGGUAGCUUGCUACCCGCUGACGAGCGGCGGACGGGUGAGUAAUGCUUAGGAAUCUGCCCAGUAGUGGGGGAUAGCCCGGGGAAACCCGGAUUAAUACCGCAUACGUCCUACGGGAGAAAGCAGGGGAUCUUCGGACCUUGCGCUAUUGGAUGAGCCUAAGUCGGAUUAGCUAGUUGGUGGGGUAAAGGCCUACCAAGGCGACGAUCCGUAGCUGGUCUGAGAGGAUGAUCAGCCACAUCGGGACUGAGACACGGCCCGAACUCCUACGGGAGGCAGCAGUGGGGAAUAUUGGACAAUGGGGGCAACCCUGAUCCAGCCAUGCCGCGUGUGUGAAGAAGGCUUUCGGGUUGUAAAGCACUUUCAGUAGGGAGGAAAACCUUAUGGUUAAUACCCAUGAGGCUUGACGUUACCUACAGAAGAAGCACCGGCUAACUCCGUGCCAGCAGCCGCGGUAAUACGGAGGGUGCAAGCGUUAAUCGGAAUUACUGGGCGUAAAGCGCGCGUAGGUGGUUUGGUAAGCGAGAUGUGAAAGCCCCGGGCUUAACCUGGGAACGGCAUUUCGAACUGUCAGACUAGAGUGUGGUAGAGGGUAGUGGAAUUUCCUGUGUAGCGGUGAAAUGCGUAGAUUAGGAAGGAACACCAGUGGCGAAGGCGGCUACCUGGACCAACACUGACACUGA
rnacentral:rRNA from 2 species